CUCCCUUAUGGAGUCUCUCCUUGGGAGCCUGAAUCUUCAAGUGUGGGCAUCAGGAAGAAAGAAGCCAAUCCUCAAGGCAAUAUAGUGGAAUCAUAGAAACCGUCUAUUCAUACUUAUUUCUGAAAGGACAAGUAAUACAAAAUACAUCCAGUUACAAGAGGUGUUUGAGAAAAUGACAUGGAACGUCUGAAGAGACAGCCAGUGGCAUCACUGCAAGGGCAACUUCCAGCUGUGAUGUUCUUUCUUCCUGAUCCACUCAGCAGCUCCUGAAGGAAUGAGGUGAAAAUCAACAUUGCUGUCAUGAUGCUGGGUAUCACCAGCCACAACACUUUGAUUUCUGUUAUGGGAACACUGAGCAGCCAGGUUAAAAGGAUUCACACAAACCUUGUGCUCUCUUUGUAUUUUCACUGAAUCUCAAAGUAGAUCUUUAGUAGUGCACAGUUAAUCAAUUGACUUGAAUGAAUUGUCUGCAUGUCUGGGAUGGAGAAGCUGCAAGCAUCUUGAAAACAGGGCUAGAGAAGUCAUAUUCUGCUGAAUUAUUCCUUAUAGCAGCGUGGAAACAUGUUAUUCUGAAGAUUUCAUGCUUUUUGCAAAUCUUUCAUUCAAACCUGUAAUGCUUGCACCACUUUGGCUCUUGAGAAUUUAUUUAUUGUAUUUGUAAGUCGUUCAUUCAUCAUCGAAGUGGAGCUGUUCUUCUUACUAAAGCCACAAAAUAGCUGCUUGAAAACAGAAUCUUUGUAAUACAGCAAGAAACAACUCGAGAACAAAAUUUAGAAGAAUAUUUUGCUCUUUUCUCCUUCCCGUUUGCUAUGCAAGGCUUCCAUUCUAUGUGCACCCUGUUGGUUUAUUCAAGUACGAAUCUGCCUCCGGUAUGUAUUCUUGCUCCAGUAUUUUGCAUUUCUAAAUGGUAACAGGUGUGGAGAAUAUAAUAUUUUGCCACCUACUUCUUUGGUGGUGCUGAUUGCACCCAGUUCACAGUUUUAUUUCGCUCUCUCUCCCUUUUUUCAUUUUACCAAAGUUAAUAGCAUCACAUUUCAUAAUUCUUAUAUUUAUUAUUCAUAAUUCUCUAAUGACAAAUUCUCUUGAUGCAUAUCCAAAUUAAACUUCUUUUAGAGUUGGAGUUAAAAAUGGUCAUUGUUUUGCUGCCUCCCCACCUCUGAAGUUUGCAUUUCAUUCUUUCAGGCAGUGUUUCCUGAAGUUUAUGCAUCUCACAAUUUGAGGUAUAGAUUAUAAGGUCUUCAAGAUAAAAGUAGAUCAAUUGAAGAGGAGCUUCAUCAUCUGAACAGGAACAGAUGCAUUUGUGGGGUCAUUUAUUCCUCAUUAUAGGAGGGACUAUAUGACCCUUAUGGCACUUACACUUCAAACAGGCAAUAGGUGGAUGUAUGGAGUGUUAUAUUUCUUUGAAACUCUUGUCUGAGCUGUUUAAAGUUAUUUGUUAUACAAAGAUUCAUGUUAAAUAUAUCAAUAAGCCACACAGUAGAUCAUAAGCAUCACAGUAGAUAUUUACCAUGCAGAACAAUGUGAGCAAUACAUCCUAACAAUUUGGUUUAAGUAAUACAUGGGUUAUCAGAUACUCCAUGGUUAUCUUUUGCACAGCUGGAUAGUGAAAUCUGUAGAAGUCUAUUGCUAGGAUCAUGCUUCAAAUUGUCUUAUGUUUACUCAGUUUAAUGGCGGUAACCAAAAAGAUUGAGUUUUGAUUAGUGACCCGUGACUAGGAGUGACUGCAGGCCCCCAGCAAGAUUGUGGGAGAGCACAGUCCCAUUCUCUGUGAGCAUUUUUUCAUUGUGUAUCUAUAUUUGAUUUACCUGCCAAUAAUAACAUGCUUUGCACUGAGAUGACAAAAGGCAUUCACACUAGACAUCAUAAGCUUUAACAGAUCUGCUUUUGUCAACAGCUCUACUCUUGUAGAUUCCUAUGUUUUCUUUUAUAAUAUAGACAGACUGUUCAGAUAGCAGAUGAGCUGUUCUAUCUUUCCUCCAUUUACACCCUUUGGAGAAGGUCAGUGAAAAAGCAUGCACCAUUUAUAUCAACCUGUUUUGAAGAUUUUGAAUGCAAAUAGCAUCUCUUCUGUGUAUCCUUAUUUCCUGCCUUUUACCUCUUUUUUUGAGCUGGCUUACCAAAGAGUCCUUCAGCUUCAGUUGUGUUGGCUUCUCUCUUGCACUGCAUUAGCCUCAUGUUCAAAAAAUAGGUAUGUGAAGUUUCAUCAUGACUUGGAAAAGAAUAAAUUUAAAAUGAAAAUCAAAAGAGAAAUACACAAACUAUCAGAGGAUUUAGUGCAGUUCCCAAAAGCUUCAUACUUUUAAAAACCUCUCCAACAUUCAAGAUUUUUUUUCCAGUUUAUUUGUAAGACCAACAAAUAAAUAUUGGGCAAUAAUGGUUGGUGUUUUUUUUAGAUUAUCUACUACAUUUCUGUAGAGUCACUCCAACGUAAGCUUUACUUAGAACAGUCAUCUGCAUUUUCACUCUGUCCCUAUGGAUUUCACUCGAAUGUAUCUUACAAUGUCUCACUUGAGUAUUCCUCAGAUAAUCAUUUUUCCUAACUCAUCUCAAAUCUUACACUUAUUCUGGAAAUUUCUUGUCUAUGGAAUACUUUUUUUCUUCCAGUAGAUCCACAGAAUAAUGCUAGUGUUAGUUCUGACACGGGCCAAUGCUUCUGUGAGCUACAGAACUCUAUUUUCUGGAUGUGAAAUCAAGGGUGAUCAAUCUCACACUGUGGCUUGAUUAUGUUUACUAUGAACAGGAGUUGACAGAACAUAGUAACCAUUCACUUAAAUCUUUAAUUUCAGUGGCAUUAUGUUAGAUAAAAAAGGGAUUUGUAGCUGCAGGGUUUUGGUUAGGAAAUAGUAUUUAAAUAGUAGUUCUUCUAGUUGUGGCUCAAAAAUUAAGACUAUU